rnacentral:antisense_RNA from 1 species
CUUCACCGAGCCGAGCCGCAGCGGCCGGUCGCGGUCCUGGCCGUAGGUCGCGAUGAGCGCGCCGGCCUC